rnacentral:rRNA from 1 species
GACGGAGGGGGCAAGCGUUGUUCGGAAUUACUGGGCGUAAAGGGUCUGUAGGUGGCCAACUAAGUCAGACGUGAAAUCCCUCAGCUUAACUGGGGAACUGCGUCUGAUACUGGAUGGCUUGAGUGUGGGAGAGGAAUGCGGAAUUCCAGGUGUAGCGGUGAAAUGCGUAGAUAUCUGGAGGAACACCGGUGGCGAAGGCGGCAUUCUGGACCAUAACUGACACUGAGAGACGAAAGCCAGGGGAGCAAACGGG